rnacentral:rRNA from 1 species
AUGCGAGUCAUUGUAGCAAUACAAGGCAGACGGCUCAGUAACGCGUAGUCAACCUACCCUAUGGACGGGGAUAACCUCGGGAAACUGAGAAUAAUACCCGAUAGAACACUAUACCUGGAAUGGUUUGUGUUCCAAAUAAUUUAUUGCCGUAGGAUGGGACUGCGGCCUAUCAGUUUGUUGGUGAGGUAAUGGCCCACCAAGACUAUUACAGGUACGGGCUCUGAGAGGAGUGGCCCGGAGAUGGGUACUGAGACACGGACCCAGGCCCUAUGGGGCGCAGCAGGCGAGAAAACUUUGCAAUGUGCGAAAGCACGACAAGGUUAAUCCGAGUGGUUUCUGCUAAAGGAACCUUUUGACAGUCCUAGAAACACUGUUGAAUAAGGGGUGGGCAAGUUCUGGUGUCAGCCGCCGCGGUAAAACCAGCACCUCAAGUGGUCAGGAUGAUUAUUGGGCCUAAAGCAUCCGUAGCCGGCUCUGUAAGUUUUCGGUUAAAUCUGUACGCUUAACGUACAGACUGCUGGGAAUACUGCAGGGCUAGGGAGUGGGAGAGAUAGACGGUACUCGGGAGGAAGUGGUAAAAUGCUUUGAUCUCUCGAUGACCACCUGUGGCGAAAGGCGGUCUAUCAGAACACGUCCGACGGUGAGGGAUGAAAGCUGGGGGAGCAAACCGGAUUAGAUACCCGGGUAGUCCCAGCUGUAAACUAUGCAAACUCAAUGAUGCAUUGACUUAUGGUCAAUGCAGUGUUGCAGGGAAGCCGUUAAGUUUGCCGCCUGGGAA